GCUCUGAGCACCAGAAAAUAACUUAGGGGGGAGGAGGGACCCCCCACCCCAGACCAGCUGGGGGGAGGGGCUGCUGGGGACCCCCAAUGCCUCCAGGCAUGGAAGGGGGGUUCCAUGGUCCCUGAUGUCCCCAAAAUGGGAAUCUGUGAUGUCCCCAAAAUCCAGCAUGGGGUCGGUCUGCGAGGUUCCUCAUUGUCCCCAAAUCUCUGAGCCAUGGGGGGGGCUCCAGCACCAAAUUGUGAGCGUGGUGGGGGGCUGAAAUUGUCCCUCGAUGUCCCUAAAUCUCCAGAUAUAGAGGACACCGUUGUCACCAAAUGGCCAGUUUGGGGACCCGGGUCUUUGGCCAUAGAGGUCAACAGUGUCCUGAUGUUCCCAAAUCUCCGGGCAUUGGGAUCUUGGGAUUCACAUCUCCAGGCACAGAGGUCAACGAUGUCCCCUGAUGUCCCCAAAUCUUUGGACACGUGGGUCCUGGGAUCCAAACACGCAGCCAAGGAGUUGGCAAUGCCCCUUGAUGUCCCCAAAUUUGUAGACACGGAGGUCAACGAUGUCCCUUGAUGUCCCCAAAUCUUUGGACACGGAUCUCCACACGUUGGGGUCUCAGGACCCACAUCUCCAGACACAGAGGUCAGCAAUGUCCCUUGAUGUCCCCAAAUUUGUGGUCACGGAGGUCAACGAUGUCCCUUGAUGCCCCCAGAACUCUGGACACAGAGGCCAACGAUGUCCCCCAACGUCCCCAAAUCUCUGGGCAUUGGGAUCCAAAUAUCUCCAAUCACUGAGGCCAGCGACGUCCCUUGACAUCUCCAAACCUCCAACCGCGGGGCUGAGACCACCCCCAAUUCCUUCCAGUCCCCCCUUUGCGCUCCACCUCCGCUCCACGGACGCUCCCCACUCGUCACCCCCCGGCGAUGCGCAACAGCCCCACGAAAUUUCCUUCCCUCUCGUCCUGUGCCAUCUGCCACUCGUCCCCUUGGAUGUCCCCAACCAUCCGAAAGCUGAGGACGUCUCCGGGUUGCAGCUGCCCCACCGCUUGUGCCAAACCCGAACGAGUCGGGCCGGAUCCGGCGCCGUCGGGUAACGCCAAUGGUACGGCCAACAAGGGAUGGGUGGAACCGGCGCGGUGCAGCUGGAGGGUGACAUUGCCAGGGGGACAAGAGGUGGCCGUGCAGGUGACAGCAAACUGGCCGUACAGGAGGUAGAGUCCCCCCGACGCCACCUGCAGCCCGCGGGCCGUCGCCUGAACGUCGCCGCUGAGGAAGACUCCGUUGAUGCCUUCUUCGUAGCGCCAGUUGGGUCCCGACGGCACCGUGAGGGAUGCUGCAGGUGGAGAUAUGGGGUUCAUGGGGUCACGAUGGCACUGCCAGUAAAUGUAGGGGGCAGGGAUGUGGGGUUCAUGGGAUUGGGGUUCAUGGGGUCCUGAUGAUGUGGGGUUAAUGUCCCCAAAUCCCUGGAUACGGAGGCCAACGAUGUCCCCAAAUCUUUGAGCUGAUGGCACCACCAGUGAAUGUAGGGGGCACGGAUUGGGGUUAAUGUCCCCAAAUCCCAGGACAUGGAGGUC
ensembl:lncRNA